rnacentral:lncRNA from 1 species
CCCAAAUGGAUAAGAACCAAAGAGUCCUGAUAAACUUGGACUCUUUGGCGCCACCUUAUUUGUGCUUAUCCAAUAUUGGCACCAACAUAGGAGAGAGCAUGGAGAUUCUUAUCUGAUGUGAUCAGAUGACAUCACUCCACCAAUCAGAAUUUUUUCAAAAUUUAUUAGAAUUUUUUGAUUGGUCGAAUGAUGUGGCACUGCGCAGCA